CACGGGGGGAGCAAGCGUUGUUCGGAUUCAUUGGGCGUAAAGGGCUCGUAGGUGGCUUUGUAAGUCGGAGGUGAAAUCCCCAGGCUCAACCUGGGAACUGCGUCUGAUACUGGAUGGCUUGAAUCCGGGAGAGGGAUGCAGAAUUCCAGGUGUAGCGGUGAAAUGCGUAGAUAUCUGGAGGAAUACCGGUGGCGAAGGCGGUUCUCUGGGCAUUACCUGACGCUGAGGAGCGAAAGUGUGGGGAGCGAACAGG
rnacentral:rRNA from 1 species